rnacentral:rRNA from 1 species
UACGUGGGGGGCAAGCGUUGUCCGGAUUUAUUGGGCGUAAAGCGCUCGCAGGUGGUUCGAUGCGUCGUGCGUGAAAGACCCCGGCUCAACUGGGGAGGGUCGUGCGAUACGGUCGAACUGGAGGCCAGUAGGGGGAUGCGGAAUUCCGGGUGUAGUGGUGGAAUGCGUAGAGAUCCGGAGGAACACCAGCGGCGAAGGCGGCAUCCUGGACUGGUCCUGACACUCAUGAGCGAAAGCGUGGGGAGCGAUCCGG